GAUGAACGCUAGCGGCAGGCUUAACACAUGCAAGUCGAGGGGCAGCACGUCUUCGGAUGGUGGCGACCGGCGCACGGGUGAGUAACGCGUAUGCAAUCUACCUUUUACAGGGGCAUAGCCCGGGGAAACCCGGAUUAAUAUCCUAUAGUACCAUUAUAUAGCAUUAUAUUAUGGUUAAAGUUUCGGCGGUAAAAGAUGAGCAUGCGUCCUAUUAGCUUGAUGGUAAGGUAACGGCUUACCAUGGCUAUGAUAGGUAGGGGUCCUGAGAGGGAGACCCCCCANACUGGUACUGAGACACGGACCAGACUCCUACGGGAGGCAGCAGUGAGGAAUAUUGGACAAUGGGCGCAAGCCUGAUCCAGCCAUGCCGCGUGCAGGAAGACGGCCCUAUGGGUUGUAAACUGCUUUUAUACGGGAAGAAACACCCCUUCGUGAAGGGACUUGACGGUACCGUAUGAAUAAGGAUCGGCUAACUCCGUGCCAGCAGCCGCGGUAAUACGGAGGAUACCG
rnacentral:rRNA from 1 species